GAUGAACGCUAGCUACAGGCUUAACACAUGCAAGUCGAGGGGCAGCAUGGUCUUAGCUUGCUAAGGCCGAUGGCGACCGGCGCACGGGUGAGUAACACGUAUCCAACCUGCCGUCUACUCUUGGACAGCCUUCUGAAAGGAAGAUUAAUACAAGAUGGCAUCAUGAGUCCGCAUGUUCACAUGAUUAAAGGUAUUCCGGUAGACGAGGGGGAUGCGUUCCAUUAGAUAGUAGGCGGGGUAACGGCCCACCUAGUCUUCGAUGGAUAGGGGUUGUGAGAGGAAGGUCCCCCACAUUGGAACUGAGACACGGUCCAAACUCCUACGGGAGGCAGCAGUGAGGAAUAUUGGUCAAUGGGCGAGAGCCUGAACCAGCCAAGUAGCGUGAAGGAUGACUGCCCUAUGGGUUGUAAACUUCUUUUAUAAAGGAAUAAAGUCGGGUAUGCAUACCCGUUUGCAUGUACUUUAUGAAUAAGGAUCGGCUAACUCCGUGCCAGCAGCCGCAGUAA
rnacentral:rRNA from 1 species